rnacentral:rRNA from 1 species
CCUACGGGAGGCAGCAGUGGGGAAUAUUGCACAAUGGGGGAAACCCUGAUGCAGCGACGCCGCGUGAGUGAAGAAGUAUUUCGGUACGUAAAGCUCUAUCAGCAGGGAAGAAAAUGACGGUACCUGACUAAGAAGCCCCGGCUAACUACGUUCCAGCAGCCGCAGUAAUACGUAGGGGGCAAGCGUUAUCCGGAUUUACUGGGUGUAAAGGGAGCGUAGACGGCAGUGCAAGUCUGGAGUGAAAUCCCAUGGCUUAACCAUGGAACUGCUGUGGAAACUGUGCAGCUAGAGUGCAGGAGAGGUAAGCGGAAUGCCUAGUGUAGCGGUGAAAUGCGUAGAUAUUAGGAGGAACACCAGUGGCGAAGGCGGCUUACUGGACUGUAACUGACGUUGAGGCUCGAAAGCGUGGGGAGCAAACAGGAUUAGAUACCCCUGUAGUC